GCCGCACAGGACACAAAGUCUCCAAGCUACUCAAUUCCCAACAAUCUCGUCUGCUCGAGUCUUUGCCCUUUCUACAGUUCUCAGAGGCGACCGGCGGGCGAUUCCUCGAUCCCGGCCCGAUUCCUGGCGAUUUCUUCAUGCUGGUGUCCUCAGCGGCACCGGUGUGAGUGAAAUCGCCGUGGAUUGUGGCCGGUGUAUAUAUCUAUUCCCUAUAGUUUGUAGUUUAGGGUUUCCCAGGUCACCGAUGUGGUGUACCUGGUUAUCUCCUCUCCAAGGUGCGGUGGUGGAUGACGGCGGCGACGGUGAUGGGGGCCUCGGCUUCUGCAGCAUCGCAUCUUGGAGAUUUGGGUUGGUGCUCUUCCCGGGGAUUCGGCAUCGAUGUGGUUUUCUUCGCUGCUUCGUUAUGCGUUGAUUUCGGAUUCUCUGUGAGCUUCUCUUCAUCAAUGGUGCCCACGUCGUCAGCGGCGUCGCUGAUCUUGUAACUGACGGCAUGGCUGCUGGAGGUCGGAGGAUUGUUUUGUCCCUCCGAAGUGGUUUAGAUGGUCUUGUUAUCAUCUGUGACUGCUUUGUGAGGUUUGUUCUCCACCUGCUCGUAUGUUCGAGCUGGUGUUUUUUACAUCCCCUUGCGGGAUUGCUGCUUGUCGACUAGGCGGUGCCGGUGAGGCGACUGGUGAGUGGUGACUGAGCCUAGUGAAUGGAAGGACUGCCCGGGACAUUCAAACGAUAAAUGGCAUGUUUUUAGUAUGCUACUGAUGGGCUUUGAAGAUCUUUUCGUCGAUUUGGGUUCCGGCUGUUAGUUUCAUCCUGGGUUCUUCUUCAUUGCGGGAGAUGGAGAAGGCUCGGCUUGCGGCAGCGACGGUCGGCGGCGGCGAGGAUCGCUGGGUGCUCUUGCUUUGGACUUUUAUGUAAUUCUUUAUUUUGUCAGGGGUGCUCUGUUUAAGGGGAUGGAUGUAAAAGUUCUAUGAUAAUAAAAUCCAACCCUUUCUCUCAAAAAAAA